AUUGAACGCUGGCGGCAGGCCUAACACAUGCAAGUCGAACGGUAACAGGAAACAGCUUGCUGUUUCGCUGACGAGUGGCGGACGGGUGAGUAAUGUCUGGGAAACUGCCUGAUGGAGGGGGAUAACUACUGGAAACGGUAGCUAAUACCGCAUAACGUCGCAAGACCAAAGAGGGGGACCCUCGGGCCUCUUGCCAUCGGAUGUGCCCAGAUGGGAUUAGCUUGUUGGUGGGGUAACGGCUCACCAAGGCGACGAUCCCUAGCUGGUCUGAGAGGAUGACCAGCCACACUGGAACUGAGACACGGUCCAGACUCCUACGGGAGGCAGCAGUGGGGAAUAUUGCACAAUGGGCGCAAGCCUGAUGCAGCCAUGCCGCGUGUAUGAAGAAGGCCUUCGGGUUGUAAAGUACUUUCAGCGGGGAGGAAGGGAGUAAAGUUAAUACCUUUGCUCAUUGACGUUACCCGCAGAAGAAGCACCGGCUAACUCCAUG
rnacentral:rRNA from 1 species